AUACGGAGGGUCCAAGCGUUAUCCGGAAUCAUUGGGUUUAAAGGGUUCGUAGGCGGAUCAAUAAGUCAGAGGUGAAAUCUUGCAGCUUAACUGUAAAAUUGCCUUUGAUACUGUUGACCUUGAAUUACUGUGAAGUGGUUAGAAUAUGUAGUGUAGCGGUGAAAUGCUUAGAGAUUACAUAGAAUACCGAUUGCGAAGGCAGAUCACUAACAGUAUAUUGACGCUGAUGAACGAAAGCGUGGGUAGCGAACGGGAUUAGAAACCCUAGUAGUCC
rnacentral:rRNA from 1 species